rnacentral:lncRNA from 1 species
CAGGUGUGUUCCGAAGGAGGAAAGAAGGUCACCGUCCCAGAAUUUGGUGACCAAGGGGAAAGUGGGAUGAGAUCUUCUAGCUGCUGUGUGGAGAAUGGACUAUCAGGAGGCCAGAGGGAAAGCAGAGGGCCAGGUAGGAUGCCACCACAGCAUGGUUUGAAGAGCAGUGCUAUGUCCACACCUGGAAUCCGAACCAGAGAACACUGGGCCACCAAAGCAGAGCGCAGGAACUUAACCAUCAUGCCACAGGGCUGCCUCCAAUUUAUUACUUUUUAACACAGAGAAAUCCAAAGAAGGAAGGCAAAAAUUGUUCAUAAUCUUCCCACCUAGGAAAGAUCUUUUGAUGUUUUUGAGGAAAAUAAAAUAAAGUAGUACAUCUACA